UCAGUUACUUUUUUUUCUUGCAAGGGAAAAAAUAGGCGAAACCUUAGCUUCGCUGACUUUAUGAGGUCUAACCUUCGCCACGACAUUAGUGUUUCACAAAAAAUACCUCACCUCUGAAAUUUCUUGACUCGUCUCUUUCUUGGUCUUUGCUUUGAAUGCUUUGAAAAAGAUUUGAAAAUUCCUAAGCUCUACCAUAUUGGGCCUUUAAUGGGUAAGUUGCGGCCCUUUAACUUGAAACUCAUAAAAACCCAUAUUAGUUAGGUUAAUACUUAGGAUUGUGAGGUUUAAUUGAAAGUAUUCCAGAGAGUUCCAUCCCGCCAUUUCGACUGGCCGCGAAAUUGCGGAAUCACUUAUUCUGAGCGAAACGGGAUUUGAGUUUUGGACGAGCAUAAGACGCAUAUAAGGUACAGACGCCGGUGAUCCACCACUGUAGGUUCCACCUCCUGCUAUUUCAGAGUGCUCCCUUUUGAUCCGGAGCCCACUUUUGGUACAUACAUCUUUUGCUAUGUAUAUGUUUCUGUACAGUUGACUACUUGGGGUACGGCGGGGCCCUGUCCCGUCAUAUGUUUUUGUUUUGACGUAUAGAGGCUUGUAGUCAUAUAUGUGGGUCGUGAGUCCUAUGUGUGUUCGUUUUGGUUAUGAUUUAUGCUUUAAUGCGGUCCUAUUUGUUAUGGCGGCCAAACUGGCCCAUAUGUUCGCAUCAGUAUAUAUAGGAUCGGCGAUGUGUAUUCCGCCGCUCCUUUUGGCUUUGGAUAUGAUAUUUUUUGCAAGCGUGACCGCUUAAGAUAA